rnacentral:rRNA from 1 species
GUGAGGAAUAUUGGUCAAUGGACGAGAGUCUGAACCAGCCAAGUCGCGUGAAGGAAGACGGUUCUAUGAAUUGUAAACUUCUUUUGUGCAGGAAUAAAGUGGGUUACGUGUAACCUUUUGUAUGUACUGUACGAAUAAGGAUCGGCUAACUCCGUGCCAGCAGCCGCGGUAAUACGGAGGAUCCGAGCGUUAUCCGGAUUUAUUGGGUUUAAAGGGUGCGUAGGUGGAUUGAUAAGUCAGCGGUGAAAGGUUGCAGCUUAACUGUAAAAUUGCCGUUGAAACUGUCGGUCUUGAGUGCAAAUGAGGUAGGCGGAAUGUGUUGUGUAGCGGUGAAAUGCUUAGAUAUAACACAGAACUCCGAUUGCGAAGGCAGCUUACUGGGAUGCAACUGACACUGAUGCACGAAAGCGUGGGUAUCAAACAGGAUUAGAAACCCUAGUAGUCC